rnacentral:rRNA from 1 species
GAUGAACGCUGGCGGCGUGCCUAAUACAUGCAAGUCGAGCGAACGGACGAGAAGCUUGCUUCUCUGAUGUUAGCGGCGGACGGGUGAGUAACACGUGGAUAACCUACCUAUAAGACUGGGAUAACUUCGGGAAACCGGAGCUAAUACCGGAUAAUAUUUUGAACCGCAUGGUUCAAAAGUGAAAGACGGUCUUGCUGUCACUUAUAGAUGGAUCCGCGCUGCAUUAGCUAGUUGGUAAGGUAACGGCUUACCAAGGCAACGAUGCAUAGCCGACCUGAGAGGGUGAUCGGCCACACUGGAGCUGGGACACGGUCCAGACUCCUACGGGAGGCAGCAGUAGGGAAUCUUCCGCAAUGGGCGAAAACCUGACGGAGCAACGCCGCGUGAGUGAUGAAGGUCUUCGGAUCGAAAAACUCUGUUAUUAGGGAAGAACAUAUGUGUAAGUAACUGUGCACAUCUUGACGGUACCUAAUCAGAAAGCCACGGCUAACUACGUG